UGAGGAAUAUUGGUCAAUGGACGCAAGUCUGAACCAGCCAAGUAGCGUGCAGGAUGACGGCCCUAUGGGUUGUAAACUGCUUUUAUAUGGGGAUAAAGUGGGGAACGUGUUCCCUUUUGCAGGUACCAUAUGAAUAAGGACCGGCUAAUUCCGUGCCAGCAGCCGCGGUAAUACGGAAGGUUCGGGCGUUAUCCGGAUUUAUUGGGUUUAAAGGGAGCGUAGGCCGUUUGGUAAGCGUGUUGUGAAAUGUAGGAGCUCAACUUUUAGAUUGCAGCGCGAACUGGCAGACUUGAGUGCGCACAACGUAGGCGGAAUUCAUGGUGUAGCGGUGAAAUGCUUAGAUAUCAUGACGAACUCCGAUUGCGAAGGCAGCUUACGGGAGCGCAACUGACGCUAAAGCUCGAAGGUGCGGGUAUCGAACAGG
rnacentral:rRNA from 1 species